rnacentral:rRNA from 1 species
CCUACGGGUGGCAGCAGUGGGGAAUAUUGCACAAUGGGCGCAAGCCUGAUGCAGCCAUGCCGCGUGUGUGAAGAAGGCCUUCGGGUUGUAAAGCACUUUCAGCGGGGAGGAAGGCGGUGAGGUUAAUAACCUCAUCGAUUGACGUUACCCACAGAAGAAGCACCGGCUAACUCCGUGCCAGCAGCCGCGGUAAUACGGAGGGUGCAAGCGUUAAUCGGAAUUACUGGGCGUAAAGCGCACGCAGGCGGUCUGUCAAGUCGGAUGUGAAAUCCCCGGGCUCAACCUGGGAACUGCAUUCGAAACUGGCAGGCUAGAGUCUUGUAGAGGGGGGUAGAAUUCCAGGUGUAGCGGUGAAAUGCGUAGAGAUCUGGAGGAAUACCGGUGGCGAAGGCGGCCCCCUGGACAAAGACUGACGCUCAGGUGCGAAAGCGUGGGGAGCAAACAGGAUUAGAUACCCGAAUAGUC